rnacentral:rRNA from 1 species
CCUACGGGUGGCAGCAGUGGGGAAUAUUGCGCAAUGGGCGAAAGCCUGACGCAGCGACGCCGCGUGAGGGAUGAAGGUCUUCGGAUCGUAAACCUCUGUCAGCAGGGAAGAACCGUCACUGUGCUAAUCAGCAGUGAAUUGACGGCACCUGCAAAGGAAGCACCGGCUAACUCCGUGCCAGCAGCCGCGGUAAUACGGAGGGUGCGUGCGUUAAUCGGAAUUUCUGGGCGUAAAGCGCUCGCAGGUGGUAUGGCAAGUCAAGGGGGAAAUCCCCGCGCUCAACGUGGGAACUGCCUUUGAAACUGGCAAACUGGAGUGUGUGAGAGGAUAGUGGAAUGCCAGGUGUAGGAGUGAAAUCCGUAGAUAUCUGGAGGAACAUCAGUGGCGAAGGCGACUAUCUGGCACAUAACUGACGCUGAGGAGCGAAAGCGUGGGUAGCAAACAGGAUUAGAUACCCGAGUAGUC